CCUUGGCCUCCCAGAGUUCUGGGAUUACAGGCAUGCCUAGUUUUUAAAUGGCUAUAAAAUACUUAGAACUUUUAGAAGCAGAAUCAGGCAUGAUACUACUCGAUCACUAACACUGUCCCAGGUUACCUUCUCUGCCACCUCGUCCCACCAUGCUGCUUCCUCAUCACGCUCUCAUACUAAUCUUCCAAGUGGAUCAUAGGAAGUUAUACAGGCCACUUACCAGCAGAGUUUUUGGCAAUUAUGUUCACAGCUUCAGGGAGUAAGCUGUUCAUUAAUUCCUUCCAUACCACCACUGCAAAGACUGAUGCAGCAACAAACCAUGUGGGCCAUAUACAGCCCACCAUUGGAACUGGGGAAUUUACAGUAGUCAAGCAGAAUUGACCUACAGCUGACAAUAUAGAAUGGAAAGGCAGAAAAACAGCUAAUCUGAAGGAUGCAUGCUGGAAAAACCUACAUACAGAGGAAAUAUUUCAAGCACUAGAAAAGGAUGAGUUCUCUGAGAAUGAGUGCCCAGGAUCAGGAUCAAAGAACAUUCACAGUCAGGGAUGGUAGAAGGUAACAAAGAAGUGAUUCAAAAAAGAAUCACAGGACUUUAAAAAACAACAACUUUUCAUUAGAGAAAAUCACAGCCAUGUGUAAAAGCAGAAGAGUACCAUGAGCCCCCAUUACUUAUCCCCAAGCUUCAUCAAUUACCAAACCCUAGCCAAUCCCGUUUCAUCUAUUCUACCUCUUCAAUUUACAAACCAAUCAGGACCUUUGAGAUCACCUACUUCAAUUACAUCAUUUUACAGAUGAGUAAACUCAAUUCCAGAAAAGUCAAAUGAAUUGCCCUGGGAUCACACAGACCAGAAGAGAGCCAUAAAAUAACAUUAUGAAAAAGAAGAAUGCAAUUUCAUGGAGUCACAGUGUCAACAUCACCAGAUGGUACAGAGAGUUUGUGUGUGGUUGGUGACAACUGAAAAAAGUUUCCGGGAUGUGAUCAAAAGGCAGUCCCUGGCUUCUCUUAUCUGGCCUCUAAUAUGCACUACCAGCAUCGCAUUCCUCACACAACCAUUAGUUAAUCAUCUAAGAUACUGGGGGCAAGACAAUUCCCAACGUCCUCUUUCAUAUCUCCAUGGGGACAAAUUGCAUCCAUCCACAAAUAACUAUUAGGAGCAAACAAUGUACAUUAAGUAAUGUUCUGGGCACUGGAAACAGAGGUAAACCAGAGAUGGACACUGUCCCUGCCAUCACAAGGUUUAUAUUCUAGUUAGGAAAAACAAAUAAUAAACUAGUAUAUAAAUAAACAAGUAUAGACUGUGCUAACCAUAAUGAAAGAAAUAAAUGGAAUGAUGUGAACAGAAAGAGGUAGGGGGCCCUAGUUUAUAUAGGGUGGUCCCUAUAAAGGCCUCUCUGAAAAGGUGACAUUUGAGAUGAGACAUUACCAAGAGUCAAGGAAGAACAUUCCAGCUCCAAUAUACAUUUGUCACUAGUUCCUUCGAGUGAAAGGAUAUUCAAGACCACUCUGGCGGUACAAAGACAAAAGUCUCAGGGGGACUACAGCCCGAUGUCUGCAACUGUCAUUAUCAUCACCGUUGUCAUCAUGACCCUUUAUACUGGAACAAGGCUUCUAAGUGGAAAGCAAAGUACUUCCUUGUCAUUGUAAGCCAGUGGCUAGAAGCUGAGGAUCUGAUAAGGAGGAGAACCCCAAGGUUCUACUCUGCCCUCUCCAGCUUCCGCUAUCUGAAAACCGAAAUAAGCACUAAGACGCCGCUCUUCCGCAGAAGCCGGAUGGAAGAGGCGGUGUGGACCACCAAAGUCACAGUGCAAGACUGGACCCUAGUUCCGUAGCCUCUUCGCUCCAAGCUACUCCAGAGGAGUAGUUCCGGGCCGUCACUUCCGGCCGGCGGGCUCCGGGAGGAGGGCGUGGUGGCUGUAGGUGAUCGCAACGUACACGCUGGAGUGUGGCGGGCUGACAGGUCUGAGACCUGAAGGACCCGGGAACCGCAAAGCACGGUGUGCCUCCGUUAUCCUGAAGAAAAAGCCGCGCGCAGACGACUGGCCGGCCCGCGCUCGCAGCUCCCAGACGUUGACAGGCAUCCUCGGGUGACCGGGUUGGCUGCUCCUUUGCUUUCAAAUAAGAUUUCUUCUCAGAAAGUCUACAUGUACUGAAUAAAAUCUGCAGUUUAUACAAUA